rnacentral:misc_RNA from 1 species
GUGAAUUUGUAGCCUCCCAGGCUCACAUUCUCUAUCCUUUACACACCUGUGCACCCUUCUGAAGCGGAGAGUUAUUAGGCAUUGGCCGAGCGCCUCCCUUCGGUUAUUAUAUCAACCUAUAUCUUUAACAACAUUCGUCUGAUAACAUAUUAUGAAUAUACUUAAUUCAAAAUA